rnacentral:rRNA from 1 species
UACGGGGGGGGUAAGCGUUGUUCGGAAUUACUGGGCGUAAAGGGCUCGUAGGCGGCCAACUAAGUCAGACGUGAAAUCCCUCGGCUUAACCGGGGAACUGCGUCUGAUACUGGAUGGCUUGAGUUCGGGAGAGGGAUGCGGAAUUCCAGGUGUAGCGGUGAAAUGCGUAGAUAUCUGGAGGAACACCGGUGGCGAAGGCGGCAUCCUGGACCGACACUGACACUGAGGAGCGAAAGCCAGGGGAGCAAACGGG